rnacentral:rRNA from 1 species
UACGUAGGGUGCAAGCGUUAUCCGGAUUCACUGGGUUUAAAGGGUGCGUAGGUGGGGAGGUAAGUCAGCGGUGAAAUCCCCGAGCUUAACUUGGGAACUGCCAUUGAUACUAUCUCUCUUGAAUACCUUGGAGGUGAGCGGAAUAUGUCAUGUAGCGGUGAAAUGCUUAGAUAUGACAUAGAACACCAAUUGCGAAGGCAGCUCACUACACGGUCAUUGACACUGAGGCACGAAAGCGUGGGGAUCAAACAGG